UACAGAGGGUGCGAGUGUUGUUCGGAAUUACUGGGCGUAAAGCGCGCGCAGGCGGCUUUUUAAGUCCGUUGGUGAAAUGCCGGGGCUCAACCCCGUGCCCGCCAGGGAUACUGGAGAGCUGGAGACGAGUAGAGGCAAGCGGAAUUCCGGGUGUAGCGGUGGAAUGCGUAGAGAUCCGGAAGAACACCGGAGGCGAAGGCGGCUUGCUGGGCUCGGUCUGACGCUGAGGCGCGAAAGCGUGGGGAGCGAACAGG
rnacentral:rRNA from 1 species